AGCCAGACUCCUACGGGAGGCAGCAGUGGGGAAUAUUGCACAACGGGGGAAACCCUGAUGCAGCGACGCCGCGUGAGCGAUGAAGUAUUUCGGUAUGUAAAGCUCUAUCAGCAGGGAAGAAAAUGACGGUACCUGACUAAGAAGCCCCGGCUAACUACGUGCCAGCAGCCGCGGUAAUACGUAGGGGGCAAGCGUUAUCCGGAUUUACUGGGUGUAAAGGGGGCGCAGACGGCGAUGCAAGCCAGGAGUGAAAGCCCGGGGCCCAACCCCGGGACUGCUCUUGGAACUGCGUGGCUGGAGUGCAGGAGGGGCAGGCGGAAUUCCUGGUGUAGCGGUGAAAUGCGUAGAUAUCAGGAGGAACACCGGUGGCGAAGGCGGCCUGCUGGACUGCAACUGACGUUGAGGCCCGAAAGCGUGGGGAGCAAACAGGAUUAGAUACCCGCGUA
rnacentral:rRNA from 1 species